rnacentral:rRNA from 1 species
UACGUAGGGGGCUAGCGUUGUCCGGAAUCAUUGGGCGUAAAGCGCGUGUAGGCGGUCCGGUAAGUCCGCUGUGAAAGUCGAGGGCUCAACCCUCGAAUGCCGGUGGAUACUGUCGGGCUUGAGUACGGGAGAGGCGAGUGGAAUUCCCGGUGUAGCGGUGAAAUGCGCAGAUAUCGGGAAGAACACCCGUGGCGAAGGCGGCUCUCUGGAGCGCAACUGACGCUGAGACGCGAAAGCGUGGGGAGCAAACAGG